UGAUGGUAGCGAACGUGUGUGUGGUGAGAAGUAAACGGUAUUAACAUUCUGGUUCAGUGCACCGGUUCUUCCGUGAAUCACAACGGAACAAGUGAACUUUAGAUCGGUCUUUGAAAAUCAGCAGUCAGCGAACAUGUAAACCAGAAAACAGUUUAACUGAAUGUUUACUACGACUACCGUGUUAAAAAAUCGGAAACCAACGGACAAAUAGAAGUAAAACUUAGAAGAUAAACUAACCCUAUUAAUAACGAACACAUCAACGAAGAUUCGGUUUAGUAAGGGUGUUAUUGAACCGGACAGCGAAACUGUGUUCUCUCUGGCAGCGCUCGUGCUUCAGGAAGUUUCUGGAGAUUACUCUGAUGACCAAACCACCAGAGAAAGGCUAAAAGAUCUACCAGUUUUACCAACAAGAGUACUGAAGACUCGGCCGUCUUUACAUGUAUGUGAAGACAAAGUUUCAAAGAUCUACAAGAACCUGAAAGGGACUUGUCGAGGAAGUGCUAUAGUGAAGUAAGUGUUGUUUUAAAACUCUGGCUGUAAUUAUUAAUGUACAAGAACCUGAAAGGGACUUGUCGAGGAAGUGCUAUAGUAAAGUAAGUUUUGUUUUAAAACUCUGGCUGUAAUUAUUAAUGUACAAGAACCUGAAAGGAACUUGUCGAGGAAGUGCUAUAGUAAAGUAAGUGUUAUUUUAAAACUCUGGCUGUACUUAUUAAUGUACAAGAACCUGAAAGGGACUUGUCGAGGAAGUGCUAUAGUAAAGUAAGUGUUGUUUUAAAACUCUGGCUGUAAUUAUUAAUGAAAUAAUUUCGAUAUUUAACAUAGAUUUUUAAGUUACUAGA